rnacentral:rRNA from 1 species
CGAAUGCUGACAUAAGUAACGAUAAAGCGGGUGAAAAGCCCGCUCGCCGGAAGACCAAGGGUUCCUGUCCAACGUUAAUCGGGGCAGGGUGAGUCGACCCCUAAGGCGAGGCCGAAAGGCGUAGUCGAUGGGAAACAGGUUAAUAUUCCUGUACUUGGUGUUACUGCGAAGGGGGGACGGAGAAGGCUAUGUUGGCCGGGCGACGGUUGUCCCGGUUUAAGCGUGUAGGCUGGUUUUCCAGGCAAAUCCGGAAAAUCAAGGCUGAGGCGUGAUGACGAGGCACUACGGUGCUGAAGCAACAAAUGCCCUGCUUCCAGGAAAAGCCUCUAAGCAUCAGGUAACAUCAAAUCGUACCCCAAACCGACACAGGUGGUCAGGUAGAGAAUACCAAGGCGCUUGAGAGAACUCGGGUGAAGGAACUAGGCAAAAUGGUGCCGUAACUUCGGGAGAAGGCACGCUGAUAUGUAGGUGAAGCGACUUGCUCGUGGAGCUGAAAUCAGUCGAAGAUACCAGCUGGCUGCAACUGUUUAUUAAAAACACAGCACUGUGCAAACACGAAAGUGGACGUAUACGGUGUGACGCCUGCCCGGUGCCGGAAGGUUAAUUGAUGGGGUCAGCGCAAGCGAAGCUCUUGAUCGAAGCCCCGGUAAACGGCGGCCGUAACUAUAACGGUCCUAAGGUAGCGAAAUUCCUUGUCGGGUAAGUUCCGACCUGCACGAAUGGCGUAAUGAUGGCCAGGCUGUCUCCACCCGAGACUCAGUGAAAUUGAACUCGCUGUGAAGAUGCAGUGUACCCGCGGCAAGACGGAAAGACCCCGUGAACCUUUACUAUAGCUUGACACUGAACAUUGAGCCUUGAUGUGUAGGAUAGGUGGGAGGCUUAGAAGUGUGGACGCCAGUCUGCAUGGAGCCGACCUUGAAAUACCACCCUUUAAUGUUUGAUGUUCUAACGUUGACCCGUAAUCCGGGUUGCGGACAGUGUCUGGUGGGUAGUUUGACUGGGGCGGUCUCCUCCUAAAGAGUAACGGAGGAGCACGAAGGUUGGCUAAUCCUGGUCGGACAUCAGGAGGUUAGUGCAAUGGCAUAAGCCAGCUUGACUGCGAGCGUGACGGCGCGAGCAGGUGCGAAAGCAGGUCAUAGUGAUCCGGUGGUUCUGAAUGGAAGGGCCAUCGCUCAACGGAUAAAAGGUACUCCGGGGAUAACAGGCUGAUACCGCCCAAGAGUUCAUAUCGACGGCGGUGUUUGGCACCUCGAUGUCGGCUCAUCACAUCCUGGGGCUGAAGUAGGUCCCAAGGGUAUGGCUGUUCGCCAUUUAAAGUGGUACGCGAGCUGGGUUUAGAACGUCGUGAGACAGUUCGGUCCCUAUCUGCCGUGGGCGCUGGAGAACUGAGGGGGGCUGCUCCUAGUACGAGAGGACCGGAGUGGACGCAUCACUGGUGUUCGGGUUGUCAUGCCAAUGGCACUGCCCGGUAGCUAAAUGCGGAAGAGAUAAGUGCUGAAAGCAUCUAAGCACGAAACUUGCCCCGAGAUGAGUUCUCCCUGACCCUUUAAGGGUCCUGAAGGAACGUUGAAGACGACGACGUUGAUAGGCCGGGUGUGUAAGCGCAGCGAUGCGUUGAGCUAACCGGUACUAAUGAACCGUGAGGCUUAACCUU